rnacentral:lncRNA from 1 species
GUACUUCUCAUAUCCACCAAGUAAAAUGGGGAACCCCCGAUAAAGGACACUAAAUACUCAGGGCGACACAGGAGGUGGAGCCACAGGGCCAGGUGCUGCUCCAGAGCUGAGAAUCUGCGCCAUGGAACGCCGAGGAUUCACUCGCUGAGCCUCGCACAGAUCCGGCAGGAAAACACCUGCAACGUUGUCAAAACAUGAGGUUUUGCCCAAGGAAAUGAUCGUUGACAUGCCAUCAGGGUCACGUAGACUUAUCAUACCUUCUCCGGCAGCGAGAUUGAAGUAGAGGUCGACGAUGUUGGGGCAGUUGCGAUAGCACGGUUGAGAGCAGAGCUUCUGGGCGAAGUCGGACUCCAUGAGGGAGUCGGAGGAGAUGCCGACGGAGUCGCGGCUGACGCCGCAGGCCCGCACGCACUCGUCCGUCUCGAUCCAGUCCGACAUCCGCUCCACCACAGCCUCCGACGUCCUGCACUGGUACUCGGUGCGCCCACCCUGGUUCUGGGUGCUGUCCAGCAGGCACCGCUUGGACGUGGAGGAGAUGGCGAAGGCGCACAGCUCCUGCGGCAGCUCCUCGCAGAUCACUCCCGCUGAAAGGAACACCGACGUCGUCAACUCGUUCCUGAUCGAAGGAAGCAGACAUGCAAGAGACAAAUAGAAGGAAGGGGA